AGUCAAACAAGAACAGUGGCUAGAGGUAUGUAGUCAAACAAGAACAGUGGCUAGAGGUAUGUAGUCAAACAAGAACAGUGGCUAGAGGUAUGUAGUCAAACAAGAACAGUGGCUAGAGGUAUGUAGUCAAACAAGAACAGUGGCUAGAGGUAUGUAGUCAAACAAGAACAGUGGCUAGAGGUAUGUAGUCAAACAAGAACAGUGGCUAGAGGUAUGUAGUCAAACAAGAACAGUGGCUAGAGGUAUGUAGUCAAACAGAUGAUGUCAGCUAGGGAAAAAAACUUACAAAUGUUGGGAAAAGUAUAAUGAUAUGAUUUGUGUGCACAAAAUAUUUUUUUUCUAGAAUAAAAUUCAUCGUAUGCCAUAGAAAUGUUAGCAACAGUCAUACUAAAGAGAUAAACUUGAAUUUAUUGAAACUUCUCAAAUAUUUGAGCACACAUUACAAAAAUGGCAUGAAACUAAUAAUAAAUGGGAAUAAUUUUCUUAGGAGAUAUAAAUAGAACUGUAUUUAUGGUCCUUCUUAUAUUGACAAAAAUAAUUAAAUCUGACAGCUAUCUGACACCUACAAUAGAGAAGGUACAGGCAUGAGAACGGUAAAAAAAAUUUUGUUUAGCUUUGUACAUGUGAAAAAUGGAAGAUUUUAAUGUUUAUCUUCAAAUUGAAAAGAAUUGAUAGACAUUUGAGGUCAUUUAAAUUAAAAUGUUAUACCAAAAGUUAAAUUAAUUUAUGAUGUACUGA